UUAAUGCUACAGUAUGAAGAUUUGAAAGCUCCCUGCCUAAUCUGCCACGAGCCGCUCUUUAAAGCUCAGAAAAUUUUUUAAGAAGUCAGAAGUAUUACUUCCUUUAUCUGAGUGAACUGUAAAGGAGACCCUGAUCAAUAUCUUCACAAAAUUAACGAAGAAACCAUCAUCAAUGCCUGGAAUAAUGCAUCAUGAAAGUCAUGUAGCUCCUUGGGACCAAUGAUGGCUUUCUUCUGCUCCAGAGUUGAGGACCCUCAAGUGACUAAAUUCUCCAAUUUUGGAUCCGCACAUCCCUGUCACUGGGUUGAGUCAGAUUUCCAGCAUCCAAGGUACUUUGCAUUUGGCAUUAGUGGCAUUCUGGAUGAAGUGCGGCUUGUGAAUGGCAAAAACAAGGAUGUCAAUGAGAACAGUAUUUGAAGGAUGAAGUCUUGGAGUUGCAAAGGUCUAUGUGCCAGAGCUGGGAGUUGGAGGAGGCAAAACAGGAACAGAAAUUAUUGAGGAAGUGCAAGAAGCCAAUUGGAACGGGCCUGAGGAAAGAAACUUGACUUUGUGUCAAGCAACACAUUCAGCUCCCAAACUAUCUUUACAAACUGACUAAGUGGGAUCACUGGCUGUCUUUAAAUUGUUGAGACACAUCUUUGUCAAAUGUUUUCUCCUGUACAAUCUGUACAGCUGCUUUGUAAACCAAUCUGCAGUGCCUAAUUAUGCUAUUCAGUCACUGAGGAGAAUUUAAGCAAAGCCUUACCUUGCAACACUCAGAGCUCCUCCUUGAGAUAGAUUCAUUCCAGAGUUCAAUAGGUUUGAGCAAAGGGAGGUUUUGUUAGUGAGCAGAACACUGUAUUGUUUGCCUGCUCCACCUGCAAUGUCCGUUUAACUUCAGCUCGAAGAUGCACUAGCUCCCCCUAUGUGAUUUAAACUAAAGUGUUCUGCCAGGUCUGCAGUGUUCAUCUAUCCAACAUACAUUAAUAUUUGCUAGGUUCUAGAAUUAAGUUUACUCAAUAAUAUAAUCUUAAAGAAGCCAAUAGUUCAUUAGCUAUACUUCUGCUGAGGACAGCUAACUUUCCCCUUUUCAGUACAAUUUGCCUUAGUUCAAGGUCCGUUUGUGUCUAACCCUCUUUCAAAUGCUUCCCUCUGGAAACCCCUCCUGUUCAUUCCUGGAAUUCACAAGCCUCUUUUUCCUGUCUCUCCUCUUUUUCCUUUUCUUUGAUGUUGCCUGGAAUUCUAGCUCUAGUUUCCACAGCUUCAGAUGGAUCUAUGUAGAGGAAUAAAAAAUGUACAAUGUUAAACAGGCUUUUGUACCAAUAUGCUAUUCAAAUUUUAUUGUGUGCC